GUGGAUUAGAUACCCUGGUAGUCCACGCCGUAAACGAUGGAUACUAGCUGUUGGGCGCAAGUUCAGUGGCUAAGCGAAAGUGAUAAGUAUCCCACCUGGGGAGUACGAACGCAAGUUUGAAACUCAAAGGAAUUGACGGGGGCCCGCACAAGCGGUGGAGCAUGUGGUUUAAUUCGAUGAUACGCGAGGAACCUUACCAAGGCUUAAAUGUAGUUUGACCGAUUUGGAAACAGAUCUUUCGCAAGACAAAUUACAAGGUGCUGCACGGCUGUCGUCAACU
rnacentral:rRNA from 1 species